CGUUCCCGGGCCUUGUACACACCGCCCGUCACACCAUGAGAGUUAGCAAUACCCGAAGUCCGUGAGGUAACCCGUAAGGGGGCCAGCGGCCGAAGGUAGGGUUAGCGAUUGGGGUG
rnacentral:rRNA from 1 species